CACGUAGUUAGCCGGUCCUUAUUCCCCACUGACCAUCAACCCGGAGAACACCCCGGGCCUGCGUAAGUGGUAAAAGAGGUUUACAACCCGAAGGCCGUCAUCCCCCACGCGGCGUCGCUGCGUCAGGCUUUCGCCCAUUGCGCAAGAUUCCCCACUGCUGCCUCCCGCAGGAGUCUGGGCCGUGUCUCAGUCCCAGUGUGGCCGGUCACCCUCUCAGGCCGGCUACCCGUAAUCGCCUUGGUAGGCCGUUACCCCACAACAAACUGAUAGGCCGCGAGCCCAUCCCCAACCGAAAAACUUUCCACCCUCCAGCAUGAGCCGGAGAGUCGUAUCCGGUAUUAGACGGCGUUUCCGCCGCUUAUCCCGGAGUCCAGGGGCAGGUUGCUCACGUGUUACUCACCCGUUCGCCGCUCGUGUACCCCGAAGGGCCUUACCGCUCCGACUUGCAUGUGUUAAGCACGCCGCCAGCGUUCAUCCUGAGCCAGGACUCAAACUCUA
rnacentral:rRNA from 1 species